UACAGAGGGUGCGAGCGUUGUCCGGAAUCACUGGGCGUAAAGGGCGCGUAGGUGGUGGCUUAAGCGUGCGGUGAAAGCUCGGAGCUCAACUCCGAGUCGGCCGUGCGAACUGGGCUCACUGGAGCAUAGUAGAGGCAGGUGGAAUUCCGGGUGUAGCGGUGGAAUGCGUAGAGAUCCGGAAGAACACCGGUGGCGAAGGCGGCCUGCUGGGCUAUGGCUGACACUGAGGCGCGAAAGCUAGGGGAGCAAACGGG
rnacentral:rRNA from 1 species